GGGCCUGUGGUGUAUGUGCGUAACAUCCCGUUGUUGCUACUCGGGGAAGCGGGUUCAAAUCCCGCCAGGUCCA
rnacentral:tRNA from 1 species